rnacentral:rRNA from 1 species
GACGAACGCUGGCGGCGUGCUUAACACAUGCAAGUCGAGCGGAAAGGCCCUUCGGGGUCCUCGAGCGGCGAACGGGUGAGUAACACGUGAGUAACCUGCCCCAGACUUUGGGAUAACCCUCGGAAACGGGGGCUAAUACCGGAUACGACACAGCUUCGCAUGGGGUCUGUGUGGAAAGUUUUUCGGGUUGGGAUGGGCUCGCGGCCUAUCAGCUUGUUGGUGGGGUGAUGGCCUACCAAGGCGACGACGGGUAGCCGGCCUGAGAGGGUGACCGGCCACACUGGGACUGAGAGACGGCCCAGACUCCUACGGGAGGCAGCAGUGGGGAAUAUUGCACAAUGGGCGGAAGCCUGAUGCAGCGACGCCGCGUGAGGGAUGACGGCCUUCGGGUUGUAAACCUCUUUCAGCAGGGACGAAGCGUAAGUGACGGUACCUGCAGAAGAAGCGCCGGCUAACUACGUG